rnacentral:rRNA from 1 species
UACGUAGGGUGCGAGCGUUAAUCGGAAUUACUGGGCGUAAAGUGUGCGCAGGCGGCCGCGCAAGUCGAGUGUGAAAUCCCCGAGCUUAACUUGGGAAUUGCGCUCGAAACUACGUGGCUGGAGUGUGGCAGAGGAAGGUGGAAUUCCACGUGUAGCGGUGAAAUGCGUAGAGAUGUGGAGGAAUACCGAUGGCGAAGGCAGCCCCCUGGGAUAACACUGACGCUCAUGCACGAAAGCGUGGGGAGCAAACAGG